AACGAACGCUGGCGGCAGGCUUAACACAUGCAAGUCGAGCGCAUCCUUCGGGGUGAGCGGCAGACGGGUGAGUAACGCGUGGGAAUCUACCUUUUGCUACGGAAUAGCUCCGGGAAACUGGAAUUAAUACCGUAUGUGCCCUUAGGGGGAAAGAUUUAUCGGCACGCGAUGAGCCCGCGUUGGAUUAGCUAGUUGGUGGGGUAAAGGCCUACCAAGGCGACGAUCCAUAGCUGGUCUGAGAGGAGGAUCAGCCACAUUGGGACUGAGACACGGCCCAAACGCCUGCGGGCGGCAGCAGAGGGGAAGCUUCCGCAAUGGGCGAGAGCCUGACGGAGCAGCGCCGCGUGAGUGAUGAAGGUCUUCGGAUCGUAAAACUCUGUUAUUAGUGAAGAACAAAUGUGUAAGUAACUAUGCACGUCUUGACGGUACCUAAUAAGAAAGCCACGGCUAACUACGUG
rnacentral:rRNA from 1 species